AACGUAGGGGGCCAGCGUUGCUCGGAAUUACUGGGCGUAAAGGGUCCGUAGGCGGUGUGGCAAGUCGGUAGUGAAAUCUCUGGGCUUAACUCAGAGGCUGCUUCCGAAACUGCUGUGCUAGAGUGCGAGAGAGGCGAGUGGAAUUGCGGGUGUAGCGGUGAAAUGCGUAGAUAUCGGGAGGAACACCUGUGGCGAAAGCGGCUCACUGGACCACAACUGACGCUGAGGCGCGAAAGCUAGGGGAGCAAACAGG
rnacentral:rRNA from 1 species